rnacentral:rRNA from 1 species
UGCAAGUCGAACGGUGAUGUCAGAGCUUGCUCUGGCGGAUCAGUGGCGAACGGGUGAGUAACACGUGAGUAACCUGCCCCCGACUCUGGGAUAACWGCUAGAAAYGGUAGCUAAUACCGGAUAUGACGACWGGCCGCARGGUCUGGUCGUGGAAAGAAYUUCGGUYGGGGAUGGACUCGCGGCCUAUCAGGUUGUUGGUGAGGUAAUGGCUCACCAAGCCUACGACGGGUAGCCGGCCUGAGAGGGUGACCGGCCACACUGGGACUGAGACACGGCCCAGACUCCUACGGGAGGCAGCAGUGGGGAAUAUUGCACAAUGGGCGCAAGCCUGAUGCAGCAACGCCGCGUGAGGGAUGACGGCCUUCGGGUUGUAAACCUCUUUUAGUAGGGAAGAAGCGAAAGUGACGGUACCUGCAGAAAAAGCACCGGCUAACUACGUGCCAGCAGCCGCGGUAAUACGUAGGGUGCAAGCGUUGUCCGGAAUUAUUGGGCGUAAAGAGCUCGUAGGCGGUUUGUCGCGUCUGCUGUGAAAUCCCGAGGCUCAACCUCGGGUCUGCAGUGGGUACGGGCAGACUAGAGUGCGGUAGGGGAGAUUGGAAUUCCUGGUGUAGCGGUGGAAUGCGCAGAUAUCAGAGGAACACCGAUGGCGAAGGCAGAUCUCUGGGCCGUAACUGACGCUGAGGAGCGAAAGCAUGGGGAGCGAACAGGAUUAGAUACCCUGGUAGUCCAUGCCGUAAACGUUGGGAACUAGAUGUGGGGACCAUUCCACGGUCUCCGUGUCGCAGCUAACGCAUUAAGUUCCCCGCCUGGGGAGUACGGCC